rnacentral:rRNA from 1 species
CAGGGGGGGCAAGCGUUGUUCGGAAUUACUGGGCGUAAAGGGUCUGUAGGUGGCUUGCUAAGUCAGACGUGAAAUCCCUCAGCUUAACUGGGGAACUGCGUCUGAUACUGGCGAGCUUGAGUGCAGGAGAGGAACGCGGAAUUCCAGGUGUAGCGGUGAAAUGCGUAGAUAUCUGGAGGAACACCGGUGGCGAAGGCGGCGUUCUGGACUGCAACUGACACUGAGAGACGAAAGCCAGGGGAGCAAACGGGAUUAGAUACCCCGGUAGUCCUGGCCCUAAACGAUGAAUGCUUGGUGUGGCGGGUAUCGAUCCCUGCUGUGCCGCAGUUAACGCGAUAAGCAUUCCGCCUGGGGAGUACGGUCGCAAGGCUG